GAUAAACGCUGGCGGCGCACAUAAGACAUGCAAGUCGAACGGACUUAACCAUUAGUUUACUAUUGGAGCGGUUAGUGGCGGACUGGUGAGUAACGCGUAAGCAAUCUGCCUAUCAGAGGGGAAUAACAGUGAGAAAUCAUUGCUAAUACCGCAUAAGCUGUGAGUAUCGCAUGAUACAAAUAGAAAAGGAGCAAUCCGCUGAUAGAUGAGCUUGCGUCUGAUUAGUUAGUUGGUGAGGUAACGGCUCACCAAGACGAUGAUGGGUAGCCGGCCUGAGAGGGUGAACGGCCACAAGGGGACUGAGACACGGCCCUU
rnacentral:rRNA from 1 species